rnacentral:rRNA from 1 species
GACGUAGGGGGCGAGCGUUGUCCGGAUUCAUUGGGCGUAAAGAGCGCGUAGGCGGCCCGGAAAGUGGGGUGUGAAAACCAGAGGCUCAACCUCUGGCCUGCAUCCGAUACUGCCCGACUAGAGGUAGGUAGGGGAGAUCGGAAUUCCUGGUGUAGCGGUGAAAUGCGCAGAUAUCAGGAGGAACACCGGUGGCGAAGGCGGAUCUCUGGGCCUUACCUGACGCUGAGGCGCGAAAGCUAGGGGAGCAAACAGG